GUCAAGACUGCACAAAGAAACCCUGGCUCAAAAAAAUCAGAAAGUAAACAGUUCGAUAGCUUCAGGGAGUCUCUGAAAUUGACUCGACUCCCUAAGCCUCUACCCUCCCCCCCCCCAAAUACAUAUAAACUCUAAGGAUUGUUGAAAGCCUCUCUUAAAGAGGCAGCUGAGCAGCCUUGAACAUGGUCAGAGCCACUGAGGCACAUGGAAAGGACUCUCUCCAACCUGUUGAGCUGCCUGCAGGCUGUGCAGUGUGCUCCAGGUCCCCGGCUUUGUGAGCUCUCACCCACGCUGGGGUGGGCUUUGGUGAUGAGGGUAACUGUGUCUGAGUUGUUUCUGCUCUGAUCUCCAGUCCAGGAUUUCCCCUGGUCCACGAAUCUUGUUGGAAUGCCUUCGGAGCAUCACUGAUCCAGGAGCUGACCUUCUGUCAUUUACAUGGCGUCUCCUUGAUGAAAUAUUCUCCAGCUGCUUAAGAACAUAGUGAACAGUUUCUCACGGAUUCCAACUUGAACAAAAAUCACACCUCCAUCCUUGUUCAACAGACCCCCAAAGCAUCUACUUUUCCAAGUACACACACUCAGGAGGCAGAGCCAAGUGGACCUUUUGAGUUCAAGCCCAACGUGGUCUACAAAGCAAGUUUCAGGACAGCCAGGGCUUCAUAAAUAGAUCUUGUCUCAAAUAAAAAAGAAG